GUGGGGAAUAUUGGACAAUGGGCGCAAGCCUGAUCCAGCCAUGCCGCGUGUGUGAAGAAGGCCUUCGGGUUGUAAAGCACUUUUGUUGGGGAAGAAAAGACACCGGUUAAUACCCGGGGUUUCUGACGGUACCCAAAGAAUAAGCACCGGCUAACUUCGUGCCAGCAGCCGCGGUAAUACGAAGGGUGCAAGCGUUACUCGGAAUUACUGGGCGUAAAGCGUGCGUAGGUGGUUUGUUAAGUCUGAUGUGAAAGCCCUGGGCUCAACCUGGGAAUUGCAUUGGAUACUGGCAGGCUAGAGUGCGGUAGAGGAUGGCGGAAUUCCCGGUGUAGCAGUGAAAUGCGUAGAGAUCGGGAGGAACAUCUGUGGCGAAGGCGGCCAUCUGGACCAGCACUGACACUGAGGCACGAAAGCGUGGGGAGCAAA
rnacentral:rRNA from 1 species